rnacentral:lncRNA from 1 species
UCUGGCUCACAAGUUUCCAUACUGCUAAGUCAUCUCUGGACUACCAUCUCCAAGCAGUUGCCUGACAUAUCCCAGAUGUCUAUUUUAGAAGACGACAAAUCAUGUCCUAGAAACGCCUGUUUUCUCUUCGCUGACUGUAACGGCAGUCUAGACAGUGAGCACAGAUGGAGAUCUCAGUAUUUGCUCAGUUUGGUGAUAUUAGAGCUACACCAGCCUGUCUACCCUCCCUUCCAGUCCGAAGGCUGUCUGGGUGGAACUGAUGCUACAACUUGGCGCAGGGUCCCUGUUACCACUGGCUACUGCAGAGGAGGAUGCAAGCCAGCUAUAGUUGAGAAAAGUCAAGUCUUCUUGCCUUACCAUUAACACUGGAAGCUUUAUUAUUAUGAAAUGUUUUUAAAACAGCACUGUCAAAAGGCCAAGAAUGGGGCUCUUUGGGCACUAUACAGCUACAAGGAGGUAGACAGUCACUGCCUGGCUUGUAAUUUAGAGAAGAGAAAAGCAAACAAAAACAAAUCAAGCAAACAAAAUCAACAACAACAAGACACACACAGGGCAGGUGAAGGGGUGUUUCAACUCUAAUUCUGGAAUGACGUCUUCUGUUUGUGAACUCCCUUUCCCCAUGAAUGUCACUUUUGAAUAGCUGCUAUGGGAGAUAUCUAUGUCUGUGCUUCUGAUGGUCCACUAUGGAUAAUACUAAUUGAGUGAAUUUUAAAUAGAAGAUAAGAGUAAAUUUCUCAGAAUCCCUGCCAGAAAAUUGGGUAGUUUGGCUUGGCAGACUGGAAAAAAAGCCUGACAUAUUGUGUCAAUAUCACAGGAUCUGCCUUUCUUUAAAUAUAUAAAAUCUCUCGUGGUUACAGUUUAACAUAUAACCAUUCUCUUUUAAAUUCUGCUUUCAGUAGUUUCUCAGCACAAGAUUCAGCUUCUUCUAUUUGAGUCCUUUUCACAGCAGCCAAGUCUAGAAAUAGAUUUUAACACUUCACAUUUUCAUAAUCACUUUAAUCAAAACUUUAAAGAGCUCUGCAAACAUUUAUUAACACUUGAACAACUCCACAGGUCUGUUGUAGGGGUUUCUCAAAUUAUCCCUAAUGUAUAGACAGAGUAACUAAGGUAACAGUAGGCAAAAAGUAUUUGACUUCCCACUUCCAAGCUGUAGUGUGUUAGCUAUUAGAUAAUUCUUCUCCUGAGAACAGUUUAAUUAUGUAGUGUACAAAUAUUGACUGCUUGUGCUCAAGGCUCACUCUCAAAAUCUCCUUCAGACGUAGCUGCAUCAAUCUAGUUUCACACAGAAAUUAUGGCCUAUUUGCUAAGUUCAUACAGGAAUAUUGGCUGACAGAAACCUGGACUGAAAGUUUCAGUGCGGACC